rnacentral:misc_RNA from 1 species
ACCCCUCUCCGAGGUCGGCUGGUGGGUGCGCGGGUCGGGCGCCGUGGGCGACCGACUCGCGGAAGGCGGCGUCCGCGGAGGAGACGCGGAGGGCGAUGGCGCGGACGCCGAGGCCGUGGGCUGCGGAGAAGGCACGGGCGGUGGCGGGGUUGAAGGAGGGGAUGGAGGGAGGAGGGGAGGGAGGUUGGGGGAGGUAGGGCGCGGUGAAGAGGAAGCGGAGGUCGGCGGAGCGGAGGAGGUAGGAUGCGUGGUGGGGAUUGCCGGUGGAGAGGUCGGAGCGAGCGGCGAGGGGCAUGCCGAGGGAGAAGGUGAAGCGGGAGGAGGCAGUGGUGGCGUCGGCGCACCAGAACUCGAUGUGGUGGAAGGAGAGGACGGGGAAGCGGUCGGAGCGGGGGUUGGAGCGGAUAAAGUUGUUGAAGCCGACGAGCUUGAAGGUGGCGUCGGCGGCGGUGACGGUGGGUGGAGAUGGGGACGGGAGGGGAACAGCGGGAUUGCCCAUUUUUGGCUGAGAAUUGGA